rnacentral:rRNA from 1 species
UACGUAGGGGGCGAGCGUUGUCCGGAUUUAUUGGGCGUAAAGAGCGUGUAGGCGGCCAGGUAGGUCGGUUGUGAAAACUGGAGGCUUAACCUUCAGACGUCGACCGAAACCAUCUGGCUAGAGUCCGGAAGAGGAGAGUGGAAUUCCUGGUGUAGCGGUGAAAUGCGCAGAUAUCAGGAAGAACACCCGUGGCGAAGGCGGCUCUCUGGGACGGUACUGACGCUGAUGUGCGAAAGCGUGGGGAGCAAACAGG